rnacentral:rRNA from 1 species
AGCUCUAUGGUUUUACGUGUAGGGUGACUUCUGCCCAUUGAUUUUUUUUAAAAGGCCGCAGUAAUUUGACUGUGCAAAGGUAGCAUAAUCAUUUGUCUUUUAAUUAAAGUCUAGUAUCAAAGAAUAUUUUCUUUUUGACUGUCUCUCUUUUAACUUUUUAGAACUUGCAUGUUAGGUGAAAAUUCCUAAUAAAAUAAAAUAGACGAGAAGACCCUAGGAGCUUUGAUUAAAAUAGUUUUAUGAUUUUAUUUUGUUUUUGUUGGGGCAACAUUUUUUUUAACAAAGAUUUUAGUGGUGUUUUAAAAAUUAUAUUUUUGAUGUAAAUUAAGUUACCCUAGGGAUAACAGCACAAUUUAUUAGUUGAGUUUGUGACCUCGAUGUUGGAUUAGGUGUUUUAAUGUUCAGAAAACAUUAUAUAGGGUUCUGUUCGAACUUUUUCACCUACAU